rnacentral:rRNA from 1 species
ACCGAAUACAUUAGCAUGGGAUAAUGGAAUAGGACCCUGACCUCCUAUUUUCAGUUGGUUUUGUUUACAGCGAGGUUCAUCAGGGUAAUGAUUAAUAGGGAUAGUUGGGGGCAUUAAUAUUUAAUUGUCAGAGGUGAAAUUCUUGGAUUUAUGAAAGAUUAACUUCUGCGAAAGCGUUUGCCAAGGAUGUUUUCAUUAAUCAAGAACGAAAGUUAGGGGAUCGAAGACGAUCAGAUACCGUCGUAGUCUUAACCAUAAACGAUGCCGACCAGCGAUUAGGAGACGUUGAAUACAAA